rnacentral:lncRNA from 1 species
UGGGACCCAAUUCAGGUUCAUUUUUGAGGUACAAAGAUUUCACUGCCCAUUAACAGAAGAGUAAAGAUCUAAUUGAGGUCAGACCCUACAGUACUUAUCCCCGCAAGACACAGAGGCUAGACCCCGAGCCCUCAGGCCUCUAUUCCUUCCAGCUCUGACAUAGUGGCCAUCACUCCGCUGUCCACUCUCAGGGAGAAGCGAGCUAGUUAGCAGUGUUCAUAUCAAUAGAAUGAUUUUGCCAAGUUUUAUGUU